GCUGAUGGUAGUAGCAUAAUGAAUUCUGAAGUGUAUGGACACAUCCUAACUGCUCAAGUUAAAAAAAAUGCCUUAAAAUUCAUUGACCAGCGGUUAAUUGUCCAGCAAGACAA